rnacentral:rRNA from 1 species
GAUGAACGCUGGCGGCGUGCCUAACACAUGCAAGUCGAGCGGCAGCGAGGGGUGCUUGCACCCUGUCGGCGAGCGGCGGACGGCUGAGUAACGCGUGGGAACGUGCCCCAAAGUGAGGAAUAACUGCCCGAAAGGGUAGCUAAUACCGCAUAUUAUCUUCGGAUCAAAGGAUUUAUCCGCUUUGGGAGCGGCUCGCGUCGGAUUAGGUAGUUGGUGAGGUAAUGGCUCACCAAGCCGACGAUCCGUAGCUGGUCUGAGAGGAUGACCAGCCAGACUGGAACUGAGACACGGUCCAGACUCCUACGGGAGGCAGCAGUGAGGAAUCUUCCACAACGGGCGAAAGCCUGAUGGAGCAACGCCGCGUGCAGGACGAAGGCCUUCGGGUUGUAAACUGCUUUUAUAAGUGAGGAAUAUGACGGUAACUUAUGAAUAAGGAUCGGCUAACUACGUG